CCUACGGGAGGCAGCAGUAGGGAAUCUUGCGCAAUGGGCGAAAGCCUGACGCAGCCAUGCCGCGUGAAUGAUGAAGGUCUUAGGAUUGUAAAAUUCUUUCACCGGGGACGAUAAUGACGGUACCCGGAGAAGAAGCCCCGGCUAACUUCGUGCCAGCAGCCGCGGUAAUACGAAGGGGGCUAGCGUUGCUCGGAAUUACUGGGCGUAAAGGGAGCGUAGGCGGAUAGUUUAGUCAGAGGUGAAAGCCCAGGGCUCAACCUUGGAACUGCCUUUGAUACUGGCUAUCUUGAGUACGGGAGAGGUGAGUGGAACUCCGAGUGUAGAGGUGAAAUUCGUAGAUAUUCGGAAGAACACCAGUGGCGAAGGCGACUCACUGGCCCGUUACUGACGCUGAGGCUCGAAAGCGUGGGGAGCAAACAGGAUUAGAUACCCUGGUAGUCCACGCUGUAAACGAUGAGUGCUAGUUGUCGGCAUGCAUGCAUGUCGGUGACGCAGCUAACGCAUUAAGCACUCCGCCUGGGGAGUACGGUCGCAAGAUUAAAACUCAAAAGGAAUUGACGG
rnacentral:rRNA from 1 species